rnacentral:rRNA from 1 species
UACGUAGGGUGCGAGCGUUAAUCGGAAUUACUGGGCGUAAAGCGCGCGUAGGCGGCUUUGCAAGUCGGGUGUGAAAUCCCCAGGCUUAACCUGGGAACUGCAUUCGAGACUGCAUUGCUAGAGUAUGGGAGAGGGAAGUGGAAUUUCCGGUGUAGCGGUGAAAUGCGUAGAUAUCAGGAGGAAUACCGGUGGCGAAAGCGACUCUCUGGACGGCAACUGACGCUGAGGCACGAAAGCGUGGGGAGCAAACAGG